UCGGCCUACCUGCCUGGUUAUCCAGGGGUGUG
rnacentral:piRNA from 1 species